UUUUUUUCAGUUAUUCCUCUCUUUUUUAAUCAUUUCCCCCCCAUGUCAACAUCGCGUUCGGUUCUUAAGGCGUUUGCUUCUUCCUCCAAGAACUCGUAUGCUUUCGGCCGAGAAAUAAAUGGUAAAAGAAAAACGUACCUGAAAGGCAAGCAAAGGUUGACAUUGUUUUGCACAAUAAAUUAGGAGAGGGAGGGGAAUAAGAUGGAGAUGCCCUCAGCGCAAUAGGUAGGAUAUAUUUUAGGGUACCUAAAUAAAUAUCAUAAGUUACUUUGAAUAAAUAGAACUCAGCAUAAUAUACAGUGGAAUUGCAUCAACUUCUCAAGGUAAAUCAGUGGGCGGUGUUGACACCAGGUUUGGGAGACCCUCAAAGCUCUCUGGGAACACAGAUUGUUGGCUUACGCCAGGUCCAUCUAACUCAAUAUUAUCUACACGGGCCGGCAGAAGCUCUCCAGAGUUUUGCUUUUCCCAACACUAAGUGGAGACCACGUGCUCUACAACUGAACUAUAGUCCUUCCCCCAGCACAUCUUUAGAUCGCAGGGAAAUAAUACAUUGCGACAGCAGCCCUUUCUUUCCAUGUUAAUACAUUUCUCAAUGAGCACCAGUAGUCAUCGAUGGCUUUUGAUGGCUGGUGGCGGCUAGCAAUGACACAGCUGCAGAUCUGGGACUGAAAGGAAAUGGUUCAGAAGUUGGAAUGUCGCCAGCAAAAUAUAUAAAAGAGGGAAGAUAGGGUGCAGCAAUAAUAUUGUAUAAAAAAAAAUACCACGGGAAAUGGGAUGGGAAGUUGAUAGAACCAACAAAAAUAAAUUAUUAUGUAUUGGAAUUUUAUGUGAAAUUUGUGGGAAUUUAAUGAAACUUGAAUGCCAGUGCCCAUCAGCUGGGGGGCUCAAAUAUUUUGUGGCAGCCAGCGAGGCAUAAUAAUAAUAAUAAUAAUAAUAAUAAUAAUAAUAAUAAUAUAUUUAUACCCUGCCCGUCUGGCUGGGUUUCCCCAGCCACUCUGUGAGGCUCCCAACACAAUAUUAAAAACACGUUAAAACAUCAAACAUUAAAAGCUUCCCUAAACAGGGCUGCCUUCAGAUGUCUUCUAAAAGUCAGAUAGUGGUUUAUUUCCUUGACAUCUGAUGGGAGGGCAUUCCACAGGGCGGGCGCUACCACUGAGAAAGCCCUCUGCCUGGUUCCCUAUAACCUCACUUCUCACAGGGAGGGAACCGCCAGAAGGCCCUCGGAGCUGGACCUCAGUGUCCAGGCUGAACGAUGGGGGUGGAGACGCUCCUUCAGGUAUACCGAGCUGUUUAGGGCUUGAAAGGUCAGCACUGAAACUUUGAAUUGUGCUCGGAAAUGUACUGGGAGCCAAUGUAGGUCUUUCAAGACUGGUGCUAUGUGGUCUCGGCAGCCGCCCCCAGUCACCAGUCUAGCUGCCGCAUUUUGGAUUAGCUGCAGUUUCCGGGUCACCUUCAAAGGCAGCCCCACGUAGAGUGCAUGGCAGUAGUCCAAGCGGGAGAUAACUAGAGGCAUAAUCCCCAAGAUAAGGGGAUCCAGCGGGGAGAAGUAUCUUUGAUAGUGCUUUGAUACCAUCUCCAGAACCAGGUGGCGAAGAGAUGGAUGGGGAAAGAAGCUGAUGGGGAAGUGGAGAGGCAAAACACCUCCCCCCCAUCCCAAAUAGUAAAGGUAAAGGGACCCCUGACCAUUAGGUCCAGUUGUGACCGACUCUGAGGUUGCGGCGCUCAUCUCACUUUAUUAGCCAAGGGAGCCGGCAUACAGCUUCCGGGUCAUGUGGCCAGCAUGACUGAGCCACUUCUGGCAAACCAGAGCAGCGCACAGAAACACCGUUUACCUUCCCGCCGGAGUGGUACCUAUUUAUCUACUUGCACUUUGAUGUGCUUUCGAACUGCUAGGUUGGCAGGAGCAGGGACCGAGCAACGGGAGCUCACCCCGUCGUGGGGAUUCAAACCACCAACCUUCUGAUCAGCAAGUCCUAGGCUCUGUGGCUUAACCCACAGCGCCACCCGCGUCCCGUUCCCAUCCCAAAUAUUUUCUCCAAAUUGGCCCUUCUCAAGAACAUUUUUCUGGAGAUGUCGUCCCGUUCGUGGAUGCAAUCCUGGCCUGUGGUUUGGACCUCUCAUUGCCCAACCGUGGAAGCACUCUGUGUGUUGAUGUCAUCUGGACGCUUCUGGGGCGGCCGAGCCAAAGCAAAGACAGAAACCUGGAAAGGGGCCUUCACUACAUGGCUACUCUCUCCCAAACAUCUGUAUCGGGGCUGUUAUUGAACGGAGGCCUUUCCUGGACAACAAUUAGCAAAACAAAACAGAAUAGAAUGUGGGUGGGGGACAAAAAGGAAAGAUGGCAAGAAUAAAAGGGAGUCUUUUGACGUACAGAUGUUUUUUCUACCCGCCUCGGAUCUCACUUCUGCCAACGCUUUGGAAAUUUUAACAUGGCGGAAAUGGUCCGUUUUCACGCAGAAGCACAGUCCUGGGUAAGGAAGAUCUUGUGAGAAAGGGGCAUCUUUAAGGAAAAACUGCUGUUGACUGGGAAAUGUCCUUCUGGCCGGCUGAAUGGAGAGACGGAUGGGAGGAACUCAGGGAGAGGGAGAGAGAAAGAGAGGCCCCUGAGCUAAACUGGUGCAGAAUGGAUGGAGAAGGAGGAGAAAUGGCCUGGAAAACAGCUACAGGAAUGAUCAAAGCACACUGGGAGAGCAAUUGCAAAAGCUCCCAGGUUCAAUGUAUUACAGUAUUUUAAUAAUUUUUUGGAAGCCGCCCAGAGUGGCUGGGGAAGCCCAGCCAGAUGGGCGGGGUAUAAAUAAUAAAUUAUUAUUAUUAUUCCAGUAGUGAUGUAUGAAAGUGAGAGCUGGACCAUCAAGAAGGCUGAUCGCCAAAGAAUGCAUGCUUUUGAAUUCUGGUGCUGGAGGAGACUCUUGAGAGUCCCAUGGACUGCAAGAAGAUCAAACCUCUCCAUUCUGGAGGAAAUCAGCCCUGAGUGCUCACUGGAAGGACAGAUCCUGAAGCUGAGGCUCCAAGACUUUGGCCACCUCAUGAGAAGAGAAGACUCCCUGGAAAAGACCCUGAUGAUGGGGAAGAUGGACGGCACAAGGAGAAGGGGACGACAGAGGACGAGAUGGUGGGACAGUGUUCUCGAAGCUAUCAGCAUGAGUUUGACCAAACUGCGGGAGGCAGUGGAAGACAGGAGUGCCUGGCAUGCUCUGGUCCAGGGGGUCCCGAAGAGGCGGACACAACUAAACGACUGAACAACAACAACAACAACAUUGUUAUUGUUGCUGCUGUUGUUGUUGUUGUUCAAGACCCAACAACCAUGGACAGAAUCUGAGCUAGAUGAACUGGUUAUUUGGUUCGGUAGUUAUGUCUUUGAGGGGGAAGACUGCAGCCCAGUGAGUUUGCAUGCAGAAGGUCCCAGGAUCAUAUCGCCGGCACCUGCAGGAAGGGUGGGGAGCAACCCCUAUCUGAAAUCCUGCACAGCUGCUGCCUGUUGGUUUGUUCUGGUCCAAACGGUCCAGGUUUGCAUCAGAAUGCACUUGUGCUCAGGGAUAACGCUCCCCCUUGUGUUUGAUGGCUCUUCAGCAGCGGACAUCGUGCAGCCCCCUAGUUCCCCCACAACCCUCCAUGCCUUAUUUUCAAUGCACACGGCAUGCACUCAUGCGCUAUUUGCGCUAACGUGUGCCUUUGCAUGCGUACGCAUUGGCACAUGCAUUUCUUGCGUGCUGCAAAACCGUGAGAGGUGCAAAUCUCAAAUGUGUUUCGGUUCUCGUGAAAGUGCAAAUUGGCUAAAGGGUGCCUUUAAAAUGCAGACUGAAUCGAACCUCUCUCCUGCCCCCCCUAAACCCAGACUGAGGAAGUUUCCACCACCCGGUCGCCGCAUCCACAGAUGCCAUGAGAUUUGACUGCAAUUCACGGCACUUAUAGCUUUGAGCAGGUAAAGGUAAAGGGACCCCUGACCGUUAGGUCCAGUCAUGGCCGACUCUGGGGUUGCAGUGCUCAUCUCGCUUUAUUGGCUGAGGAAGCCGGCAUCCAGCUUCCGGGUCAUGUGGCCAGCAUGACUAAGCCGCUUCUGGCGAACCAGAGCAGCGCACGGAAACGCCAUUUACCUUCCCACCAGAGCAGUGCUUAUUUAUCUACUUGCACUUUGACGUGCUUUCGAACUGCUAGUUUGGCAGGAGCAGGGACCGAGCAACGGGAACUCGCCCCGUGGUGGGGAUUCGAACCACCGACCUUCUGAUCGGCAAGUCCUAGGCUCAGUGGUUUAACCCACAGUGCCACCCGCGCCCCUCAUCCAGCGUCCCUAGCUUUGAGCAAGGACUCUCUUAUUUCCAAACUGGUUUUCAGAGCAGCGUUGGACAAAGAGCUCCGCGAUAGCAGGCAACGUUUCACAGCAAUGUCACCGUUGUUUACUCUGGAAGGAUAUAAAUGAGCCCUCGGACUUCUGCCUUGGCCAAGCCAACUUCAUUUGUCUCCUGAAAAAGCAUUUCUCUCCCCCCCCCUCUUUCUUGGCCGCCUUCCCGGGCCAAGGAAAUGCUAAACAGAAGGACUAACCGUAAAGUCCUGCCGCCCUUUGCAGGCGGGAGCAAAGAACGUGGAAUGCAAGCCAGCCCUACAGAUCAGGGCAGCUGCCCGCUGUCCAGCCAGGGCAGACAACUAGGGCAAAACGCAUGCCGCGAAGCAGAACAAAGGUUCCUAUUUGUGAUGAGAUGGGCACUUCCUUCCACACAAGCAACAAUUCCUCGCUGACCUGCAAAUGAAUCAGGCCUGAGUCUCUAAGACUGGUGCAACUGCCUCAAUCCCAGCCUUGCCAGCAAAAGUGAGGCUGGCAACAAAGGAUGAAUAGCUGCUGCUCUCUCACAAGAGACCAGGGCCGUGCGGGAUUUUGACAUCUUUCCGCAGGGCCUGCAAGACGGAGCUGUUCCGCCAGGCCUUUGGUCAGGGUUCAGUCUGAUUCUUCUUUUUCCUAGCCCGCUCACAGGUCCUUUAUAAGACCAGUGGUAACAUUUGGCCCUGGAGAAUAUUAACCACUCUCAAUUUUACCCGUGGACUGCCAUCUGUCCAGAUUUUAAUUUGCUCUGAACUAAUUUUAAGAUGUAUUCUAAUUAAUCGAUUGCCUGUUUUUAUGUUCUUAUGUUCUUUGUAUACUGUGUUAGUUUUAUGUUAGCCGCCCUGAACCUGGCAAUGGCCGGGGAGGUAAAGGUAAAGGGACCCCUGACCAUUAGGUUCAGUCGUGACCGACUCUGGGGUUGCGGCGCUCAUCUCGCUUUAUUGGCCGAGGGAGCCGACGUACAGCUUCCGGGUCAUGUGGCCAGCAUGGCUAAACUGCUUCUGGCGAUCCAGAGCAGCGCACGGAAAUGCCAUUUACCUUACCGCCAGAGUGGUACCUAUUUAUCUACUUGCACUUUGACGUGCUUUCAAACUGCUAGGUUGGCAGGAGCAGGGACCGAGCAACGGGAGCUCACGCCGUCAUUGCGGGGAUUCGAACCGCCAACCUUCUGAUCGGCAAGUCCUAGGAUCUGUGGUUUAACCCACAGCGCCACCCGUGUCCCUUUUGCCAGAAGUAUGGAUGGGCAUCUAUGUCCCGGUUUCUGAUUAUUAUUUUUCCCAAUCUUAAGUUCGGUUCCAUCACAUUUCCGCACUAGUUUGCAAUUUUUCUUGGGGGAAAGUUCUCAUGAAAAUUGAUGAGCAUUUUAUUACGAAUUUGACACUCCCCCCCCCCAUAUAUGUACCUCGUGCAAUGGAUUUUUGUACGUCAUAUGCAUAUGUAUGCACAUUUAACCCUAGGAUAUGUAUAUUCAUUUGCAGUUUAAUCGACUGGAGAACUGCAUUGCAAAAUUCGGAGAAGUGCAAACGUCAAAGGAUGGCUGUUUUGGCUCCCAUAUUGUUUCGGGGACGUGUGAAUCCAGUAUACCUGAAGGAGCGUCUCCACCCCUAUCAUACAGCCCGGACACUGAGGUCCAGCUCCAAGGGCCUUCUGGCGGUUCCCUCCCUGCGAGAAGUGAGGUUACAGGGAACCAGGCAGAGGGCCUUCUCAGUGGUGGCGCCCAC